UUAAUGCUCAGCCUUCUUAACAAACUCAAUUAAUCAAUUCCAAUAACCUCAAUUAAUUCACAUUAAUCCAAUUAAAACCAAAUGAUUAAGCAAAGGGGAUUAGAAUUAGGUUUACGUGAAUGAUUACUGAACUUGGACCUUUUUCCUUCGCUCACUCAAAACGCGGCGGAACUCCUCCUCUUCUCAGAUCAACACUCGAACGCCGCCGCUGAUCCUUACCAAUGAGAACAAUGCUCUCGUCUCAGCCUCACUUCGUCUCUCAACUCUGAACGGCGCGGCAAUUCAACUCUCGCUCUCUCUCGCGAACAACGGCGGCGAUGGUGACCUCAACCUUACUCCGAUCAUCAUUUCCGGUUCAAUGCCAUCACCGCUCACUCUCUCAUUCUCGUCUUCAACCUUUUCUGUUGUUGUUGUUAUCGUGUUGAUUGGAGAUUGAAGAAGAUAUAACGGAAACGGUCAAAGCUUGUAAAGCUUCCGCGGAUCGUAGAUGAAGGUAUUGUUGCCGUUGUUUGCUGAGACGGAGGAUGUGCGAUUGGAGAUUUGUGAAUCGUCAACAAAGAAGAUUGUUGAUGGAUGAUGUUGAUUCAGUCGCAAUGAGAUAGAUGAAGGCGAUGAUUUGGCGGUUGCGGCAUCGCAGAUUUAUGAUGAAGCUUUGAAGAUUGAAGAUGAGAUCGUGGAUUCAGAAUUUGCUUACGUUUCUUGCAUCGAACUGAGGAUGAUGAAGUUUCAGGUGAGUUCUUGAGAUUGAAUCAAUCCUAUGCUGAAUUUUCUGUGGUGAGUUUGAGAAGUUGAAGACUGAAGAUUUUGUUUCGGUUAGAGUUUGCUGGAAGAUCAAUAGCGUGUCAAUUGAAGUGUUGAAGGUGAUGGUUAUGAUGAUGAACGUUGCUGAUGAAGAUGAAGAUUCAAGGGAUGAUCGAGAGAGAGGUUGAAGAAGUUUGUUACAUUUUUCUGAAUUGUGAUGUAUGAAUCGCAGAGAGAGUGUGAAGAGAAGGUUCAAGAUGAUGAAGAUGAUUGAAGAACGAAUGGGAGAGAGUUUUUUUCCUGCAAAAGUUUGUUACGUUUUUUUUUGUGAAUUCUGUUAUGCUCCCUUUUUCUGAAUUUCCUUUCUUCUGCCAUUUUUUGUUAUGCCGUCUUUGUGAAUCCUGUUUUGGAUCGAACCGGCUUCGGUUUAUCCUAUUGGCAUCGGUUCUGGAAUUUUUCACUACAUCUCAUGGCUUGCUAUAUUGGAAUUGAAGGAUUUUAAAAAUGGAAAAGUUGGGACGUGGCCAAAGGGAGAUUAUCCUUUAUUAGACUUAUGUUUUUAUGUAGUUCUCUUUGUAUGGCUUUUGUAAUGGACACAGGGAUGUAUGAACUUUGUAAUUUUUGUAACGAAUUUUCAAUGGGCGUUUUUGUAUGGAUAUUGGAAUUGGAUUGAAUUAUGAA